rnacentral:RNase_P_RNA from 1 species
UGGGCUGGCCGGGCGAUCGCGGCGGGGUAUGUCCCGUCGAGGAAGGUCCGGGCUCCACAGGGCAAGGUGGUGGGUAACACCCACCCGGGGCGACCCGCGGGACAGUGCCACAGAGAAAAGACCGCCUCACGCAAGCGAGGUAAGGGUGAAACGGUGGUGCA